UCCGAAGGGGAAGGACGAGCGAGCGAAGCUUGCAGAAGCAUUAGAGAUCGUCGCUGGCCUUUGGAAACGAAGGCAUGUGCACGUCUCGACCCUCUGCUCGGUCCUCGUUCUCUUUCCUUUCGUAAAUCUUUGACACCCGUGCACCUCUUGUAGGUCCCUGAGAGGGGACCUAUGUCUUCAUAAACUCUUCGUAUGUCCAGGAAUGUAUCUAAAGCGUCGACCGGCUUGGCUGAACGUCCAGUCGGCGACGGUAAAGAACGUAAUACAACUUUCAGCAACGGAUCUCUUGGCUCUCGCAUCGAUGAAGAACGCAGCGAAUUGCGAUAAGUAAUGUGAAUUGCAGAUUUUCAGUGAAUCAUCGAAUCUUUGAACGCACCUUGCGCUCCUUGGUAUUCCGAGGAGCAUGCCUGUUUGAGUGUCAUUUAAUUCUCAACCAUCCCUCGAUUGAUUUUUUUCGAGGUUUGGCUUGGAUUUUGGGAGCUGCCGGCGACCGGAUCGGGUCCUUGGCUCUCCUCAAAAGCAUUAGCGACGGUGGUGUGACCUCCCCCGUGCAUGAACGGCCUUCGACGUGAUAAUGAUCGUCGUGGGCUGGAGUGCUAGCGGGCGUCGCGUCGCGUUCGGCGCUUCUAAUUCUCGUCGAAAGACGAAAUAUAUCGAAACUUGACCUCAAAUCAGGUAGGACUACCCGCUGAACUAAGCA
rnacentral:rRNA from 1 species